GGUGCUGUGUGUACAUUAAUGAAGGGAAAGAAAUGAACUUAAAUGAUUUUAGCAAAUGGCUGAAAUAUAAGAAAGAGUGAAAAAUUCCAGGGGGUCAAAAUACUUUCUGUACCCAGUGUAGAAAUAUAUACUGUAUAUUUACUGUAUAUUAAGUUCUAAUACGGACUCAGAGAAUGCUUAAUAUGAAUUAAAUAAGCGUUAUGUUAAGUUGAGCUAUUAUUUUGAAAUCUAAUAAUAAUAAUAAUAAUGGGCCACCCAUCGCUGCAAGUGUCAAUGUUAAGGCCCGAAAGCCAAGUGAAACUUUCUGUCAGGGAUUCAGGAAAUGGUCACUGCAUGCUCAGUAACCAUAUCAGCCAGUGACUAUUGACCAAAGUCCAACGUUCACUUCUGGAAGACUCCAUGCGGUGACUCUAACAUGUCCUGUGAAAGAACGAGAAGGCGGUGAAGGUAAAAGACUCUUGCUAAUUCUGACUUUGGUUUUACUUUCUUCCAUCCAGGGCCACUUUUUGCUCAUUUCGUCCAUUUUCCUCGAUCGUAUAAGUGUCUUCUUGCUGUUGUUUUUCAAAUGUAUCCUUCGACCUCCUUUGUGCCAGUUUAAGGAUGGAUGGAAUUGAGACAGAAUCACAAGUAAAACAGAAAAACCAAUGAUCCUUUCUUCACUCUUUGUCUUCCUGAUUUAUUUUUUCACGUUGUGUGUCUGGACUGUACACUCUUGAACUGCUUCUCUUUUCAUGCUAACACUUCGUGUGUGCUUAUAUAUAGACACAAUUUUGUACAUUACAUUGUUUCAUUUAUGAAACAACAUUUAUGCCACAGCAGCCCUAGUCAACAGCACUGGAAAUGACCCAAACCAUAUUUUUAUGUUUCUGUAGCAGAAGCUGGCCAUCCAUCCAUUUUCACUCAGUGAGAAUUUAAGCCGUCCAAAUCAACAAUAUGAUGACUAUUGUUGUGGUUGCAGUUUUCAGUGGCAUAAUUGUACACGAGAGCAAGAUACCGUAUAUUACAACCAACCCCACACGAUUACCAUUGUUAAAUGCUGAAUAUCCGAUGCGGAUCUCAUUCUACAGUAUUGCGCGAGUGGUCGAGUUCUGGGGCUGGUUUGUAUGUGUUUCACAGAUGGAGCUUUGCAUUGUGUUGAUAGCAGCCAGUGUGGCGCCAGCGUCUGCAGCAGAACAGGUAAAAUCCGCUUCAAAGUAUCGCGUAUUUCUCGAAGUGAAUGAGCUUGCUGCCUUGCCAAUGUUUCCUGGCAACUUACCAGCUGUGUAAGUUGUUCCUCCCAGGAAUGCUAAAUGUUAUUUUCUUCAUUGGAAUGACUAGUACUUACACACACAGUGUUCUUAUCACUUUCGUUAGUGCUCCUAAUCAGGAUAAUAAUAUCAUUGUUAAUAAUAACUCGUCCAAUAUGGUGUCCGUAGUUUAAAGUGGAGGAUUUGUUUCGUAACACUGACACAGUGUUAAUAAUGAUAACUAACUCACUAUUUGAGAUGCUUUUUGUGUGCUGCACUUUGUUAAUGUGGAUUUAUUUUGACCGCAGCUCAGCAUGAUAGAAAGUCUCCUUUUGGCCACACAUCAGCGUCCCUGGCUUUGGGGGGUCUAUGUUUUCGCCGUUGGACUACCCGUCGUUCUUUUCAUUAGCUUCAUGUGGCCCGACAAGAGGUUUGGACCCCCUGACCAUCAAUAUUACUAUAAGAAGUCGGAUGAUUUACAACCAGAUGACCCUGAGAUCUCGCAGAAGAAAUAGCAGUGUUGAAGCUGACAGAACAUUGGCAAGAGCAAGAGACACUCAUGGUUACCCGGGCGAGCGUCGCCAAGACACAAAGAGUCGACAGAUCCACGAACGCCAACCCUUUUCUUGAGCGCGCCCGGCCGGCUCUCCCAAAAUGGGACGAAAGAAGCUGAAGUAUCAACAAACAGGAAAAACAGACAGUUUCCUUUCACACAUCAUAUUUGAAUUCCAUGCUUCUUAUUUCUGUACUUGCAUUGAAACUAUUUCCUCGGGCAGUGCAUAUUAAGUGUUUGUUUGAUAUGAUAUUUUGAUGUU